rnacentral:rRNA from 1 species
UGGGGAAUAUUGGACAAUGGGCGCAAGCCUGAUCCAGCCAUGCCGCGUGAGUGAUGAAGGCCUUAGGGUUGUAAAGCUCUUUCGACGGGGAAGAUAAUGACGGUACCCGCAGAAGAAGCCCCGGCUAACUUCGUGCCAGCAGCCGCGGUAAUACGAAGGGGGCUAGCGUUGCUCGGAAUCACUGGGCGUAAAGCGCACGUAGGCGGCUUACUAAGUCAGGGGUGAAAUCCUGGAGCUCAACUCCAGAACUGCCUUUGAUACUGGUGAGCUUGAGUUCGGGAGAGGUGAGUGGAACUGCCAGUGUAGAGGUGAAAUUCGUAGAUAUUCGCAAGAACACCAGUGGCGAAGGCGGCUCACUGGCCCGAUACUGACGCUGAGGUGCGAAAGCGUGGGGAGCAAACA